UGGGCUACGGACGAGCCCGUGAUCCGGGCGUACGGAAUUCAGGACCGACUCGUCGUCCGCUCUUCGCGGGGCGGACGGCGGUCGAUUCGAUAUUUCCGUCGCCGACCCUCAACCGAGGGUGUCGGACGUCGCGACCCGUUCGCCACGGUCGAUGCUCAGGGACGCGCCUCGAGUUCGCCCGCGCGGCCGCUUCGGCGGUCGCGCGACGACGGCGCGUUUCCGUUGUCUUCGACGCGGACGGUAGCUUUGCGCGCGGGUAAUCGACGCGGCCCACUCGUCCGGCGUCUCCGUACGUCGGACGGCGCUCGCGUCGACGCCGGUCAGCGACGAAUCUUCGGGCCUCUUUCCGACCCGUCUUGAAAACGGGGACCAAAAUUUUUUUUUUUUUAAAAUUAAAAAAACACCAUUUUUUUAA
rnacentral:rRNA from 1 species